UUGGGUCCUGAGCUUAUUUCAUGUGGUUUUCCUGACCUGCUAGAAGUUCUUCUAUGAUGCCUGAGAGAGAGAGAGAGAGAGAGAGAGAGAGAGAGAGAGAGCUUCGUCUUGACUUUGUCAUGAAUUUGGUGAGGAGUGGAGCUGGCUGGAUGUGGACGAGGAAGUAGGGAAACAUAUACAUG